UACGUAGGGGGCAAGCGUUAUCCGGAUUUACUGGGUGUAAAGGGAGCGUAGACGGCGAUGCAAGUCUGAAGUGAAAGGCGGGGGCCCAACCCCCGGACUGCUUUGGAAACUGUAUAGCUGGAGUGCAGGAGAGGUAAGUGGAAUUCCUAGUGUAGCGGUAGAAUGCGUAGAGAUUAGGAGGAACAUCAGAGGCGAAGGCGGCUUACUGGACCAUAACUGACGCUGAGGCUCGAAAGCGUGGGGAGCAAACAGG
rnacentral:rRNA from 1 species